rnacentral:lncRNA from 1 species
UCACUUCAAAUAAUCUUUCUUCAAACAAAUAUUCUUUUCUUGCACUAACAUUAAUCCAUAUCAUUGAGACGUGACGAUAAUAAGCCCCUAUUUGACAACCUUUAAAAAUUUAAAUUAUUUGCUCUAUAGUAUCAUUCUUCAACAUACAUUCACAAAAUAAAAUAUGUGGAAAUUACGCAAAAUCAUACUUUAAAAAUCCAACAUUCUAAAAUCAGAUGGCAAGUUUAACAAUUUAAAAAUCAAAAUUUUUAUUUUAAUCAAUAUUUUUAUUAACAAAAAUCCCAAAUCCUAAUAAAACAAAAUUUAUAUACCCACCACCAACCCCCAAAUCGAAUUCAUCUCUCUCUCUCUCCUUUAUCUUCCUCCAUUAUCAAUCGGUAGAUAAUUGGCAACGUUAGACCUGGCGAUACCAUCGCCGCGGCCACGCCGAUGAUACUGUCACUGUCGAUGGUUUUGUUGGUAGCGGUGGUAAGGUUGCGGUGAUGAUUGUGGCGUUGGUUUUGGGCGUCGUUGCUCGCGGCAUGAGCGUCGUUUCUGCAGUGGUAAAAGUCGAUCAAAGUUGAAGCAGUGUUGGAUCUAAAUUUGUGGUGGUUGUGGAGUGAUUUUGGGGUAGUCGUUGUGGUGUGCUGAGAUGGUGCAGGCGGUGGUGGGUUUAGGGAUAUUGUGGUGGUGUUGAUGAUGGCGUUGGUGGUUGUGUUGUGUUGGUUGAUGGUGUUUGGUGAUUUAACGGUGGUUUUGCAGUCGUGGCUAUGGUUGCUGUGUUGGUGAUGUAUGGUGCAAUGGUGGUGGUGUGUGUUGCGGUGGUGGUGAUGGUGAUGGUAGUGUGCCGCUCAUAUUUUUUUUCAAAUUUUCUGCUACGUUGAUGUUGUUGCGAUGGAGGUGGUCUUUGCAGUGGUGCGGUGACUUUGUUGGAUCCAACGAUGUUGAAGGUUACGAUGGAUAUGGUGGUGGUUGUCGUUUUGUUGGUGGUGCUGGUGGGAGAUAUUGUGGGUGGUGAGAUGAUGGCUAUGGUUAUAGUGAUAUGUUGGUGGCCAUGGGUCUAUUGAGAUGGUGGUGAAUAUGACGUGAUGAUGUGUUGAUUUGAGGUGGUGAUGUUGCCAUCGAGAGGUGGUGGUGGCUGUAGUUAUGGCGGCGACGGUGGCGAUGGUAGUGGUUAUUGUGACCAACUAAUGGGUUGAAUGUGAUCAAUAAUUGGUUAAUUUGUGUUACAUAAAUAAAUAAUGCGUGACCUAAAAUUUGUGUUUGUGACUCAUAAUUUAUUAAGUUGUGAUCGAAAAAUUAAUCGUGACUAAUUAAUCUAAAAAUUUGCAAUGAAUAAAUGAGUUGCGACCAAUAAAAGUUUUGAUUUUGUGAUCAAUAAAAUUUUUGAUUCGUGAUCGAAAAAUAAUAGUUGACCUAUAAAAUUUUUUAUUUGUGAUCGAAAAAUAAGUCGUGACCAAUAAUUUGAUAAGUUGUAUUUAAAAAUUAAUAUGUGACUAAUUAUUUUUUUUUAUUUGUGAUUGAUGAACAAAUUGUGAUGGUUGUCGUUUUGUUGGUGGUGGUGGUGGUAGAUAUUGUGGGUGGUGAGAUGAUGGCUAUGGUUAUAGUGAUAUGUUGGUGGCCAUGGGUCUAUUGAGAUGGUGGUGAAUAUGGCGUGACGAUGUGUUGAUUUGAGGUGGUGAUGUUGCCAUCGAGAGGUGGCGG